GUCCGGACUCAGAUUGUCGAAAAAUCUCGAAGAUGUGAUCGUGGCGUCCCGCGACCGCUUCCAGCUAUUCCAGGGGACCUGGACCCGGACCGUGAAUGAGGCCUGGGCGGCCCGCCCUGCUGCGGGGUGCCCCGCUUCACCGCCAUCCGUUACGAGGAGGACGCGCUGUUCUACAGCGACGCCGCCAGUCCUAGCACAGGGCCGCGGGCGCCGCCGGUGCAGCAGGAGCUGCGAGUUUUGGGAGAACCCAAGGAUCGUCUUGAGGUUGAACGUUUUCCAGUGAAACUGAGGGCGCCACUUGGCCACUACAACCGGAGCGAGGAUGGAUGCAACCGCUGCCUUGCGUGGGACUGACACAAGAUUUUUCAAGUCUCUCCCUUGUUACUUGAAGAACCUUUGAUUUCCUUUUCUACAAAGGACAUCUGUCUUCCUGUCACUCAGUUUACCCUGUUCCAAUGGUCAUCCUUUGUCUUCUUGGUGUGAUGUCUGACACAACUCAUGCCGUUCCUUCGCCUGUAUGGAAAUUUCUAGAACAGGUAAUGCAGACUGGAAUCUAGGAGAUGUGGGACUUGUUUUCAAACAUAGCAAGUAAUGUAACAUUAUCUAUUUCAUACUGAUCUGAACCUUAACGUGAUAAAUAUGUAUAAGAAAACAAAUGAUCCCCUAGAGUAUUUUAUUUGGUUAUUAAAGCAUAGGGAAGGAAGGAGUCAUCUGAACUAUCUUAGUGUCUUAGUGGUAAAGAGAUUGGGAAACACUGCUCUGGUGCUAUAAAAUAAUCAGCCAUAAGAAGGGUGUCCCAACCCUGUCUCCUGAAGGGAAUGCUUCAUGACUGGGCCUCAGAGAAAAGAGUUGCUUGCCUAGUCCAUUACCCAGGAAGAGAUGUACACACACCGUCUGACUGAGAGAAGAUGAAAAGCCCCGGGCCAGUUCACCAG
rnacentral:lncRNA from 1 species